GUUUGCUGUUCUUCAUCUUUUUAAAUAUGAAGUCUAUCCAUGUUUGUGUUUACAGAGUUCAUGUACACUGUGGUCAACUUUGUGGACGCUGAAGAGGUUUCUGGGUAAAGAUGAUAGAAAUAUAAUGAAGUAACAGUGGAAGCUAAAACAUCAGACUGAUCCAGACACUGAAGAAAUUGAUGUCACUGCAAUCUGGCCAAAAUGAUACAACUAUAUUGAAGUAGCCUACUGUAAUGACGCUGCAGAACGUCACAGAGACUCUGAGGACAUCAACACAGAAAAUCAAGGCUCUAAAGAGAUGUCUGUCCAGAUGAGGGUGCAUCAACGUUACCUUUGCUGACAAGUAUAUGCUUUACAAUGUAAAACCUAACAGUUAACUCAAACCAUUUAAGGAAAUCGGUUGCCAUAAACCAUUAAGUUUUAAAAAACAUACAUUUGAGUACUGUGAACUUAAGUCUUGUGCAAUUAUGCACUUAUAUUUAGGUAGUGUGAACUUAAAUAUAAGUGCUUAACUGCAUGUGACUCAAUUUGUUUAAGUUCACAGUACUCAAAUCUAUGUGUUUUAAAACUUGAAUGGUUUAAUGCAAUGUUUUCUUAAAUGUGAGAAAUUACAGUGUUACAGUGAGAAAUGUUUGAAUAAUUCCAAGACAGAGCUUGAUUCUACACUGCAAAACAUCACUUUCUAACACUUUUUAUCUUGUUUUCAGUAGAAAAACUAAACAUUCUUAAAUCAAGAUGUAUUUUCUUGAUGAGCAAAAUUACCUUAGAAAAUAUUUUUAGUUUUUAGACAAAAAUAUACAAUUUAAGAUAAUUUGUGCCUAAACAAGAAAAAAUAUCUAACACAAUGGGGUGAGAAAAUUGUGUUUUAAUUAAGUUUUUAAGAAAAAAGAAAACUUAACAUUUUUUAAUCACACUAUUGGCAGAUAUUUUUGCUUGUUUUAAGCACAAAUUCACUUAAUGUGUGUAUUUUAUUUAUAUUAUAGACUUAUUUUCUUGGGUCAUUUUGUUCCUCAAGAAAAAGCAUUUUAAUUUAAAUAUUUCUACUGAAAACAAGACAAAAAUACUAUGUAAGAGUCAUUUUUUGCAGUGUAGGACUGAUUUCUUAAGAGCAAGAUCAAUAUAGUUGUUGUUCAUUUUAUUUAGAUAUUUACUACAUUACAGUGGCAGCUGGUGACUUCUUUUUUUGUGAGCACUCGAUGCGAAGUUUGUCACAACAUGUAUAUAGCCCAUCAUUUGUGUGGUUCCCAAUUUCAAAAUAUGUGUUCUGCAUGUCGAGUGUGUGUAUGUGCAUCACGUGUUUUGACUAAACACGUGAUGCACGUGGUUUACAUGAAGCAACAAACACAUAUUUUAAAAACACAAGCAACACACAUGACACUCCGAACACUUAUUUUGAAUUUGCAACCCUCGGAUGAGCAGUCACGAGCCGCCACUGCUACAUUACAUUGUACUGCUUUAAAUGUAGUUUUCAUUGUUGCUUUUAUUUAGUUUUAUUUUACUCUAAUAUUGCUUUCUCUGUCUGUAUAUUUAUGAGUUUAAAUUGUAUUGUUUAUGUAUGCAACUUUUAAUAUUUGUGUAUUAUAUUAUUUUGUGAUUGUGACAAUUGUGGAUUGUUCAGUUUUUUUAUUAAAUAAACAUUUCAAGCUCAAUUCAAGUUUUUAU